CUUCAACGAGCCCAGCCAGAGCGGCUGCUCGGCCGGCCGGCCGCGGCCGUAGGUGGCGAUCAGCGCCUGCGCCUC
rnacentral:antisense_RNA from 1 species